ensembl:lncRNA
UGUUACUGGACUAUAGAGAGCAAUCACCUCAGCGAUUCCCACAACAUGAUGUAAGGGGGAUGAAAGACAGCUCAUCAGACCAUAAUACUUCAAUUUCCAUUUCCUAGGCAUCCGCACUUUGUGCCACUUACACCAGAUUAUGUGUCUUUGUGCGCUGGCAUCGAUACAAGCAGUUUCUUAAUAGCAGCUGCACCAUGAAAAGCAGCUGGGAAAGAUCACAAUGUAGCUUUUGUUGUGGCUGUUUCACAAAGGUGCUGAUUCAAUUCUGUGGUAAUUUUUGAGGCUGCGUCUUCUGGGUGUUCCAAAGUGAUUUUUUUUUUCUCCUUUUUAUUUUUUUUUAUUUUUCAUCGCUGAUAUUUCUGCUUCUGCUCGGCUCAUACGCUGCACACAUUCAUAUCCAGGGUGGGCAGUUUACUUGGUUUGGGUGCAUGUUUUAAAGGUGUGUGACAUGUUUAACAUAAUACAAUCAUGCAAAUUAGAACAGAAACACCACAGGACUUACACGAGUACAACAAACACUCUUUCUAAAAAGUAGUGUAGACUAGUUUGAAGUGUUUUUGCAUUGAAUCUUCAGUGUACACCCUCUAGAUAUGACUGCCAUGAAAUAUGCAGGACAUAGUAUGGUAUUCUGUCCAUGAGAAGAUUUCACAAGUGACCCUGAAGUGCGCAUUCUGUGUAGUUACAGUUUGUCUUCUUGCAUUUCUUAUUGCCUCACAAGAAUAUAAAUGCCUGAAAGGGAAGAUCCCAGAGAAUUCAAUAACAUCAUAGACAGAAUUGGGGGUAUGACAUGCACAAAGAGGAUGUUUUCAGAGUUUGACCCAUGAGACUGCACCAGUUAGGAAGGGCUUUCACUAUGCACAUUGCUGCAGCUCUAACACAAAAUGCCUGCGAUGAUAUUCUAUUCUGUUAAAAAAAAAAAAAAAAAGCCCUCUACACAGAAAGACGAGAAAAGCAUUUGGUUGUCUUAGUACUUGUACUCCGAGCAGUGUGAAUAAAGUUGAAUUAUUCUAAUUAUCUGUGAAGUGUACUAUACAUUAAACAUGUGAAGUUAGUUGCAAUAAAUUGUGAACUAUUUAUUGGAUCAUGUGUCAUUUUUCCUGCUGGCACAGUGGAAAAAUAACCAAGAAAUAUUUUUUGUAGAUUUGCAAAGUAUUUGCAUUCAAACUCCAGAAUAAAGAUGUGAAUGAUUCUGUCUGUUAUCCAG